GGGAGGCAGCAGUGGGGAAUCUUGCACAAUGGGCGAAAGCCUGAUGCAGCCAUGCCGCGUGAAUGAUGAAGGCCUUAGGGUUGUAAAAUUCUUUCGCUAGGGAUGAUAAUGACAGUACCUAGUAAAGAAGCCCCGGCUAACUUCGUGCCAGCAGCCGCGGUAAUACGAAGGGGGCUAGCGUUGUUCGGAAUUACUGGGCGUAAAGCGCGCGUAGGCGGACUGGAAAGUUGGGGGUGAAAUCCCAGGGCUCAACCCUGGAACUGCCUCCAAAACUAUCAGUCUAGAGUUCGAGAGAGGUGAGUGGAAUUCCGAGUGUAGAGGUGAAAUUCGUAGAUAUUCGGAAGAACACCAGUGGCGAAGGCGGCUCACUGGCUCGAUACUGACGCUGAGGUGCGAAAGUGUGGGGAGCAAACAGGAUUAGAUACCCUGGUAGUCCACACCGUAAACGAUGAGAGCUAGUUGUUGGCAGGCAUGCCUGUCGGUGACGCAGCUAACGCAUUAAGCACUCCGCCUGGGGAGUACGGUCGCA
rnacentral:rRNA from 1 species